rnacentral:rRNA from 1 species
CUACAUAGCCAUAGCAUUCCAACUAUACCUGUUCUCAUCUGAUCUCAGAAUCUAAGCAGGGUUUGGUGUAUUUUGUAUUAGUAUGGAGAAAACAAGCAUGGGGA